GAUGAACGCUGGCGGCGUGCCUAAUACAUGCAAGUCGAGCGAACAGACGAGGAGCUUGCUCCUCUGACGUUAGCGGCGGACGGGUGAGUAACACGUGGAUAACCUACCUAUAAGACUGGGAUAACUUCGGGAAACCGGAGCUAAUACCGGAUAAUAUAUUGAACCGCAUGGUUCAAUAGUGAAAGACGGUUUUGCUGUCACUUAUAGAUGGAUCCGCGCCGCAUUAGCUAGUUGGUAAGGUAACGGCUUACCAAGGCAACGAUGCGUAGCCGACCUGAGAGGGUGAUCGGCCACACUGGAACUUGGACACGGUCCAGACUCCUACGGGACGCAGCAGUAGGGAAUCUUCCGCAAUGGGCGAAAGCCUGACGGAGCAACGCCGCGUGAGUGAUGAAGGUCUUCGGAUCGUAAAACUCUGUUAUUAGGGAAGAACAAAUGUGUAAGUAACUAUGCACGUCUUGACGGUACCUAAUCAGAAAGCCACGGCUAACUACGUG
rnacentral:rRNA from 1 species